rnacentral:misc_RNA from 1 species
AUUUUAAUGAUAUUCAAAUUGAAGAGAUUUUUAUUAUACAAAUUAAAAUUAAGGGUUAUUAUUGAUAGAACUAACUAAGUUGAGAGACUAUAAGUGAAAUUAACCCCUCAUUUGUCAAAUAGAGUCUUGUUACUUUGACCAUGUGGUGAGAAUCCGGAGCCUACCACUUGAUUAUUUGAUGAGAAGAAUUUCGAUUAAGCUAAGAUUAGAGGUAUAAAUUAUUAUCAGUAGAUUAUAAAACAUUAUAUCAUAAUAACACCGAAGCCAUGUCUAGAGCUCCAAACUUUUGAAACCCUAACUAGGAUUUCUCUUUAUCUUAUCAAUUUCUAUUUGCUAUGUUUUCCUUCAGACGAUGCAGUACUAAACGGUGA